GGGGUUGUGGCUCAGUGGUAGAGCAUACGCCUUGCACGUGUGAGGCACUGAGUUUGAUCCUCAGCACCACA
rnacentral:tRNA from 1 species